rnacentral:rRNA from 1 species
CCUACGGGCGGCAGCAGUGAGGAAUAUUGGUCAAUGGACGAGAGUCUGAACCAGCCAAGUCGCGUGAAGGAUGACUGCCCUAUGGGUUGUAAACUUCUUUUAUAUGGGAAUAAAAUGUUCCACGUGUGGGUUUUUGUAUGUACCAUAUGAAUAAGGAUCGGCUAACUCCGUGCCAGCAGCCGCGGUAAUACGGAGGAUCCGAGCGUUAUCCGGAUUUAUUGGGUUUAAAGGGAGCGUAGGUGGAUUGUUAAGUCAGUUGUGAAAGUUUGGGGCUCAACCGUAAAAUUGCAGUUGAAACUGGCAGUCUUGAGUACAGUAGAGGUGGGCGGAAUUCGUGGUGUAGCGGUGAAAUGCUUAGAUAUCACGAAGAACUCCGAUUGCGAAGGCAGCUCACGGGACUGCAACUGACACUGAGGCUCGAAAGUGUGGGUAUCAAACAGGAUUAGAUACCCGAGUAGUC